rnacentral:rRNA from 1 species
GACAGAGGGGGCAAGCGUUGCUCGGAAUCACUGGGCGUAAAGGGCGCGUAGGCGGGAUGGCAAGUCAGUCGUGAAAUCUCUCGGCUCAACCGAGAAACGUCGGCUGAUACUGCCGUUCUUGAGGGAUGCAGAGGAGACUGGAAUUCCCCGUGUAGCGGUGAAAUGUGUAGAGAUCGGGAGGAACACCGGUGGCGAAGGCGGGUCUCUGGGCAUUUCCUGACGCUGAGGCGCGAAAGCCAGGGGAGCAAACGGG